rnacentral:tRNA from 1 species
GGUGAUGUAGCUCAGCUGGUUAGAGCGGCGGCUUCAUAAGCCGUAGGUCGCGAGUUCGAGUCUCGCCAUCACCACCA